rnacentral:rRNA from 1 species
GACGAACGCUGGCGGCGUGCUUAACACAUGCAAGUCGAACGGAAAGGCCCUGCUUUUGUGGGGUGCUCGAGUGGCGAACGGGUGAGUAACACGUGAGUAACCUGCCCUUGACUUUGGGAUAACUUCAGGAAACUGGGGCUAAUACCGGAUAGGAGCUCCUGCUGCAUGGUGGGGGUUGGAAAGUUUCGGCGGUUGGGGAUGGACUCGCGGCUUAUCAGCUUGUUGGUGGGGUAGUGGCUUACCAAGGCUUUGACGGGUAGCCGGCCUGAGAGGGUGACCGGCCACAUUGGGACUGAGAUACGGCCCAGACUCCUACGGGAGGCAGCAGUGGGGAAUAUUGCACAAUGGGCGGAAUCCUGAUGCAGCAACGCCGCGUGCGGGAUGACGGCCUUCGGGUUGUAAACCGCUUUCGCCUGUGACGAAGCGUGAGUGACGGUAAUGGGUAAAGAAGCACCGGCUAACUACGUGCCAGCAGCCGCGGUGAUACGUAGGGUGCGAGCGUUGUCCGGAUUUAUUGGGCGUAAAGGGCUCGUAGGUGGUUGAUCGCGUCGGAAGUGUAAUCUUGGGGCUUAACCCUGAGCGUGCUUUCGAUACGGGUUGACUUGAGGAAGGUAGGGGAGAAUGGAAUUCCUGGUGGAGCGGUGGAAUGCGCAGAUAUCAGGAGGAACACCAGUGGCGAAGGCGGUUCUCUGGGCCUUUCCUGACGCUGAGGAGCGAAAGCGUGGGGAGCGAACAGGCUUAGAUACCCUGGUAGUCCACGCUGUAAACGGUGGGUACUAGGUGUGGGGUCCAUUCCACGGGUUCCGUGCCGUAGCUAACGCUUUAAGUACCCCGCCUGGGGAGUACGGCCGCAAGGCUAAAACUCAAAGGAAUUGACGGGGCCCCGCACAAGCGGCGGAGCAUGCGGAUUAAUUCGAUGCAACGCGUAGAACCUUACCUGGGUUUGACAUGGAUCGGGAGUGCUCAGAGAUGGGUGUGCCUCUUUUGGGGUCGGUUCACAGGUGGUGCAUGCCUGUCGUCAGCUCGUGUCGUGAGAUGUUGGGUUAAGUCCCGCAACGAGCGCAACCCUUGUUCACUGUUGCCAGCACGUUAUGGUGGGGACUCAGUGGAGACCGCCGGGGUCAACUCGGAGGAAGGUGGGGAUGACGUCAAGUCCUCAUGCCCCUUAUGUCCAGGGCUUCACGCAUGCUACAAUGGCUGGUACAGAGAGUGGCGAGCCUGUGAGGGUGAGCGAAUCUCGGAAAGCCGGUCUCAGUUCGGAUUGGGGUCUGCAACUCGACCUCAUGAAGUCGGAGUCGCUAGUAAUCGCAGAUCAGCAACGCUGCGGUGAAUACGUUCCCGGG